ensembl:lncRNA
CAUUUUAGUUCUGAUUGUACAUAGAGAUAAAGGACCUAUAAAUAUCCUGUCUGCUGAAAUUCCUUAUAACAACAUCGCCUGUCAGCUGAACAAAUAGCUACACAAAAAAGUCCAGUCCACUGGCUUUGGCUUUAUACACACGUGAUUGUUACCAGGCCCCAGCUUUGAUAUAUUGGUACAAUACUGGAAAGAAACAAGCUGCAGAAAUCAGAUAUCCAUGGUUGUUUUGGUUGUGCCUUCCCUCAGAAGAGGACACGCUGAAUACGGAGUGAUUAAGACAGAUGCCUGGACAGGUGAAGGGAGGUGUUCCAGCAGUGGCAGUGCACACAGCAGAGGAGGGAACAAAUUGCUGCAAGACUGCAGGAGCCCAGGAGGAUGUUGCCAUGGGUAAGAGUAGUGAAAGAAGAACUGAGGAGGAAAGAGGAUGUGUUCAGAGUGACUGCAGAAAGCUGCUUAAAACAAGCACUUAGAAAACACUGGAAUACAGGGCAGUGGUCCCAUUUUGCCAGUCUUGCUCUUAAAGGGUUAUACUAAUGUAUCCAGGUAGCAGUUCACGAAGGAAGAGUCCUGUAUAUCUCCCUUAUUUAGGCAUAUGUUUAUCCAAAUUGGGUUUUGAUAAGAAGACUGCAGCUGGAUCUUUAUUAUCUGAGACAAGUGGCGAUAUUAGCUGUUCAGAGUUCAUGAUGGAAAUGUAUCUGCAUACUGGCGUGCAUCCAGCUGCACUUCACAAAGGUAAGUGGGACAUGAGAGUGCUGCAUUGCUCUUCUUUAACCCAUUUGCUGUAGAAGGGGGUACUGUGCCUCUCUGCAGGAAAGGCUGGUGGAACUACUGUGCUAAUAAACACACAUUUCUUGCUGCAGCAUAUGGGCUUCCCAGAUUCAUAAACCCAAGCAAUUCAUAGAUGAAUUACAAUUAAAUAUCCACACACACUUCCGUACUGCAGCCUAACAUGAGAGGCAUAGGCCUAAGUGUCUGGGCAUCUGCUGUCUGCUCUCCUGCACACACUGCUUGGCAGAGCACAGCCCCUUAAUCUUACUCCACCUCCAUUAAUUGUACCUUCAAAAUCAGAUGCACAGUGUCAUUCUAUAGAUGUUUUGCCAUGUUCUUCCAAGAGCAGCAUUCUCUCCUGCUCUCUCUUUUCCCUUUCCUUCUUCUUCCUUUUAUUUAUUUAUUGGACUGGAUGAUCCUGUGGGUCUUUUCCAACCUUAGCGAUUCUAUGAUUCUAUGAUUUGUUUGUUUGUUUGUUUGUUUAUUUAAGCAGCCCUUAUUGUCAAAUAGUCAGAAAUACUUUCAUUGCUGCUGGUCUUUUUGCCAAAAGAUUUCCAGGCCAAAGGUUCACUUGGGCUCUGAUAAUGACAGUGGGAAAUGAGGGCACCGAUGGAUCCCCACAACAAUUUUGUGUCACUUGUACAAGACCCAUAGGCUCAGUACUGUAGUAAGAUAAUGUAGCACUUGAUUACAAUGGAUGUAUUGCACUUACAGAAGGCAUCUUGUCGUGGGGCUCUGCAUAUCUGAAGUAAUAACCGCUGAUGUCAGGUAAGACAAUGGUAAUGGAAGCAGAUAAUUUUCCCAUUGUUAAAAUGCUAUAAAAGUCUUAAUUACAUGAAAUUUAGCUAGAUCUAGUGCUGGUGGCUGGAGGGAACAUCCUUCUGAGGUUCAGCCUUUCUCUUAGUCUGAUGAGAGCUAUUUAAAGAAGAAAGAAUUAUAUGUAAUUAUUACCCAUCUUGAGUUUCCAGGCAGCAAGGUUACCACAUGAAACUGCCAUUCAG